UACGAGGGGGGCUAGCGUUGCUCGGAAUCACUGGGCGUAAAGGGUGCGUAGGCGGGUUUUUAAGUCAGGGGUGAAAUCCUGGAGCUCAACUCCAGAACUGCCUUUGAUACUGAAGAUCUCGAGUCCGGGAGAGGUGAGUGGAACUGCGAGUGUAGAGGUGAAAUUCGUAGAUAUUCGCAAGAACACCAGUGGCGAAGGCGGCUCACUGGCCCGGUACUGACGCUGAGGCACGAAAGCGUGGGGAGCAAACAGG
rnacentral:rRNA from 1 species